rnacentral:rRNA from 1 species
GACGAACGCUGGCGGCGUGCUUAACACAUGCAAGUCGAACGGAAAGGCCCUGCUUUUGUGGGGUGCUCGAGUGGCGAACGGGCGAGUAACAAGUGAGUAAGCUGCCUUUGACUUUGGGAUAACUUCAGGAAACUGGGGCUAAUACAGGAUAGGAGCUCCUGUUGCAUGGUGGGGGUUGGAAAGUUUCGGCGGUUGGGGAUGGACUCGCGGCUUAUCAGCUUGUUGGUGGGGUAGUGGCUUACCAGGGCUUUGACGGGUAGCCGGCCUGAGAGGGUGACCGGCCACAUUGGAACUAAGAUACGGCACAGACUCCUGCGGGAGGCAGCAGUGGGGAAUAUUGCACAAUGGACGGAAGCCUGAUGCAGCAACGCCGCGUGCGGGAUGACGGCCUUCGGGUUGUGAACCGCAUUCGCCUGUGACGAAGCGUGAGUGACGGUAAUGGGUGAAGAAGCACCGGCUAACUACGUG